ACAUUUGCUUCGUUAAAAAUGUCGUUAAACAAUUCUUAAUUGAAGAUAUCAUUCCUUUCAGUUACAAGCCUACACUCAAUAUUCAAAGUUAAAUGUUCCUUCAUUGAAAAGUUAACGUUAUUUAAAGCACAAAACUGAACUGAAAUCACAGGUGAAAACAUGUUUGGCAAACUAAAGGACUGGGGUUUCAAAUUGUAUCGUAAUGCGCUGAUCGUAUCUAUUUUGGCCAUACCCUAUCUAACAUUCAAGUGCCAAAUAGACAAGCUGUCCACAUUUGAUAUUGGUCUUAUGUACACCAGUGUUGCAAUCGGUAUAAUCAGCUGUGUGGAAUAUGAGAUGCAACGGCAUUAGAGGGAGGGUCAUCUUUGGAGCAGUUGCCGGCCAGAUUGCUGGAGCUGGUGCUGGAGCACGCCAAGCCGAGGAGACAGAGCAGCAAACUGCACACGAUUUUAUAGCACAUUUUGCGCGCUUAACAAUUGGCCACAGCUGCUCGUAUUUGUUGUUGUUGAUAAAUUUGUUGUUUAGUAUUUGAUUGUUGUUGUUGUUGUUUUUUUGUAACAAAUUAUGUAUUAAAAUAUGCAGCUGAGCGGUGAAUGAAGCAUGAA